AUUGAACGCUGGCGGCAUGCUUUACACAUGCAAGUCGAACGGCAGCACAGGGAGCUUGCUCCUGGGUGGCGAGUGGCGAACGGGUGAGUAAUGUAUCGGAACGUGCCUGGUAGUGGGGGAUAACUACUCGAAAGGGUGGCUAAUACCGCAUGAGAUCUUUGGAUGAAAGCGGGGGACCUUCGGGCCUCGUGCUACUGGAGCGGCCGAUAUCAGAUUAGGUUGUUGGUGGGGUAAAGGCCUACCAAGCCUGCGAUCUGUAGCUGGUCUGAGAGGACGACCAGCCACACUGGGACUGAGACACGGCCCAGACUCCUACGGGAGGCAGCAGUGGGGAAUUUUGGACAAUGGGCGCAAGCCUGAUCCAGCAAUGCCGCGUGCAGGACGAAGGCCUUCGGGUUGUAAACUGCUUUUGUACAGAACGAAAAGUCUCUGGCUAAUAUCUAGAGAUCAUGACGGUACUGUAAGAAUAAGCACCGGCUAACUACGUG
rnacentral:rRNA from 1 species